rnacentral:rRNA from 1 species
UCGGGCGGCGCUCCCCUCCCUCGGGAGAGAGAGCGCUCGGAAUGGAUACGCUACCAGGUUGAUCCUGCCUGUAGUCUUAUGCUUGUCUUGAGGGUUAAGCCAUGCACGCCUAUGCUCACCCUACACAGAAGGGGAAGCCGCGAACUGCUCAGUAUAUCGGCGAUAAUACACGGGGUGGGCGAUGUUUGUCCGGACACCUGUAGGAAUCCCAGAGCUAAUACGUGCACACGAGUCCUCCUCCUAACGGGGCAACUCGCGGGGAGAGGGCGCAUUUAUUAGGAUCUUGACCGGCGGUGGGCAGUCAACGCUGUUCACCAGGCUGAGGCGAACUCUGGGUAUGUGACGACCGCUGUUAGCGGCGUGCCCGUUUGCUCGCCGUCCCAUCAAAUUUAGACGGCCCGGGCAAGAGCCCCCCGUGUUGGCUACGGGUGACGGAGGAUCAGGGUUCGAUCCCGGAGAGGGAGCCUGCGAGACGGCUACCACGCUUAAGGGUGGCAGCAGGCGCGCAACUUACCCACUCCCAGCACGGUGAGGUAGUGAAGAUAAAUGUCGGGGCUGGGCUCGCAUGCGAGCCUAGCGGUCGGAUUGAGCGUAGACCAAACACGUGCCGUUGAUGACCUAUCGGAGGGCAAGCCUGGUGCCAGCAGCCGCGGUAAUUCCAGCUCCGAUGGCGUAUGUUGUAGUUGCUGCGUUUAAAACGCUCGUAGUUGGAUCUCUGAGGUGACGGCAGCGACAAACCGCGGGUGACGGUGUCCCGGCGAUUAUGCACCGUCGUGGUUUUGGGGAUGGAGCAAGUGGUGCCUUCGGGUGCCGCAACCGGACCCUCGCGACGGAUCUCGCCGGGCAUCGCUUGCCCGUCGCUGCCGGUUUAGUCUCUUUCCGUCUUAAGCCGUGUCGGCUUGGUACGUGGCGUAUCUGGGCCGACACUAAGGUACGGGCGGUGUUCUCCCUGAAUCAAUUGGAGUGCUCAAAGCAGGUCGUGCUCGCACAGCUUUGCUCGGAACGAUGUGAUGACGCCACCGUCCCGCAAUUUAAACACGGGCCCGGUCUCCGUGGGGACGGUGGGCGAGGUCUAUAGAGACGGCCGGGGGGCGGCGUACUACCGCGGGAGGGGUGGAAUCCGACGAUCGCGGUGGGACGAACAAGAGCGAAGGCACCGGCCAAGAGCGCCUUCGUUGAUCAUGAACGAAAGUCGGAGGAACGAACGCGAUCAGGUACCGCGGUAGUUCCGACAGUAAACGAUGCCGACCGGUUACGCGGGGACGUCCCCAGUGGGGAAGCCUCGCGAGGCCCCGGAGAAAUCAGAGUGCCUGGGCUCCGGGGGGAGUACGGUCGCAAGGCUGAAACUUAAAGGAAUUGACGGAAGGGCACCACCAGGAGUGGAGCCUGCGGCUCAAUUUGACCCAACACGGGGAAGCUUACCAGGUCCGGACACCGUGUGGAUUGACAGACUGAGGCUCUUUCAUGAUUCGGUGGGUGGUGGUGCAUGGCCGUUGCUAGCCCGUGGAGCGAUCCGUCUGGUUCAUUCCGAUAACGGGCGAGACUCUGCCCUGGCGGAUAACAAACGGCGGUCAAGAGGGGCUCGUCUCACGGGUUGGGUCGGCGUUCAGCUUUCGGGUUGGGCGUCGGUUCUCCCACUCAGGGAGAGUCGGUGCCCCGGACCGCCGUCGCGCAGGCCGCGUCCUGCAGGGAUUGACCUCGAGCAGUGCGUACGAGAUGGAGCCAUAACAGGUCUGUGAUGCCCUUAGACGUCCUGGGCUGCACGUGUGCUACAGUGGUGGCGCCAGCCGGCGCGGUGUAGACCGUGAGCGUAGGAGUCUUCAUGUCCGGGGUCGGUCUUCCUGCGAGUUGGGCCGUGAACUCGGAAUGCCACGUAGUCACGGGUCAGCAUCCCGUGCCGACUACGUCCCUGCCCUUUGUACACACCGCCCGUCGCUACCUUCGGUGGACGGCGCAGCCAGGACUCCGGAGUGGCCGGCGAACAGGGGCCUCGGUCCCUGAAAUCGCAGUCGCCGCGAUGUCGUCCGAACUGCGCUGCCCCGAGAGGGUAAAAGUCGUAACAAGGUUACCGUAGGUGAACCUUCGGUAGGAUCA